CACAUGCAAGUCGAGGGGCAGCAUUUCAGUCUGCUUGCAAACUGGAGAUGGCGACCGGCGCACGGGUGAGUAACACGUAUCCAACCUGCCGAUAACUCGGCGAUAGCCUUUCGAAAGAAAGAUUAAUACCCGAUGGUAUAAUCAGACCGCAUGGUCUUGUUAUUAAAGAAUUUCGGUUAUCGAUGGGGAUGCGUUCCAUUAGGCAGUUGGUGAGGUAACGGCUCACCAAACCUUCGAUGGAUAGGGGUUCUGAGAGGAAGGUCCCCCACAUUGGAACUGAGACACGGUCCAAACUCCUACGGGAGGCAGCAGUGAGGAAUAUUGGUCAAUGGGCGCAGGCCUGAACCAGCCAAGUAGCGUGAAGGAUGACUGCCCUAUGGGUUGUAAACUUCUUUUAUAUGGGAAUAAAGUUUUCCACGUGUGGAAUUUUGUAUGUACCAUAUGAAUAAGGAUCGGCUAACUCCGUGCCAGCAGCCGCGGUAAUACGGAGGAUCCGAGCGUUAUCCGGAUUUAUUGGGUUUAAAGGGAGCGUAGGUGGACAGUUAAGUCAGUUGUGAAAGUUUGCGGCUCAACCGUAAAAUUGCAGUUGAUACUGGCUGUCUUGAGUACAGUAGAGGUGGGCGGAAUUCGUGGUGUAGCGGUGAAAUGCUUAGAUAUCACGAAGAACUCCGAUUGCGAAGGCAGCUCACUGGACUGCAACUGACACUGAUGCUCGAAAGUGUGGGUAUCAAACAGGAUUAGAUACCCUGGUAGUCCACACAGUAAACGAUGAAUACUCGCUGUUUGCGAUAUAC
rnacentral:rRNA from 1 species